UACAGAGGGUGCAAGCGUUAAUCGGAUUUACUGGGCGUAAAGGGCGCGUAGGUGGUGAGAUGUGUGUGAUGUGAAAGCCCCGGGCUCAACCUGGGAAGUGCAUCGCAAACUAUCUGACUGGAGUAGGUGAGAGGGUGAUGGAAUUUUCCGGUGUAGCGGUGAAAUGCGUAGAUAUCGGAAGGAACGUCAGUGGCGAAGGCAAUCACCUGGCACCAUACUGACACUGAAGCGCGAAAGCGUGGGUAGCGAACAGGAUUAGAUACCCUGGUAGUCCACGCUGUAAACGAUGAGAACUAGAUGUUGGUAGGGAACCUAUCAGUAUCGAAGCUAACGCGAUAAGUUCUCCGCCUGGGGAGUACGGCCGCAAGGUUGAAACUCAAA
rnacentral:rRNA from 1 species